rnacentral:rRNA from 1 species
UACGUAGGGGGGCGAGCGUUGUCCGGAUUUAUUGGGCGUAAAGAGCUCGUAGGCGGUUGGGUAAGUCGGGUGUGAAAACUCAGGCUCAACUCUGAGACGCCACUCGAUACUGCCCUGACUCGAGUCCGGUAGGGGAGCGUGGAAUUCCCGGUGUAGCGGUAGAAAUGCGCAGAGUAUCGGGAGGAACACCAGUGGCGAAGGCG